CCUACGGGUGGCUGCAGUGAGGAAUAUUCGUCAAUGGGCGCGAGCCUGAACCAGCCAAGUAGCGUGAAGGAUGACUGCCCUACGGGUUGUAAACUUCUUUUAUAAAGGAAUACAGUGAGGCACGUGUGCCUUUUUGUCUGUACUUUAUGAAUAAGGAUCGGCUAACUCCGUGCCAGCAGCCGCGGUAAUACGGGGGAUCCGAGCGUUAUCCGGUUUUAUUGGGUUUAAAGGGAGCGUAGAGGGGUUGUUAAGUCAGUUGUGAAAGUUUGCGGCUCAACCGUAAAAUUGCAAUGGAUACUGGCAGUCUUGGGGACAGUUGAGGUAGUCGGAAUUCGUGGUGUAGCGGGGAAAUGCUUAGAUA
rnacentral:rRNA from 1 species